rnacentral:rRNA from 1 species
UACGUAGGGGGCAAGCGUUGUCCGGAAUCAUUGGGCGUAAAGAGCGUGUAGGCGGCUCGGUAAGUCCGCUGUAAAAGUCAAAGGCUCAACCUUUGAAUGCCGGUGGAUACUGUCGGGCUAGAGUCCGGAAGAGGCGAGUGGAAUUCCUGGUGUAGCGGUGGAAUGCGCAGAUAUCAGGAGGAACACCAAUAGCGAAGGCAGCUCGCUGGGACGGUACUGACGCUGAGGCGCGAAAGCGUGGGGAGCGAACAGG